AAUUAGCUAAGUGUGCCUGCAACCUCUCCACUUGUUAGAUUGUUUUUUUUUUUUUUAAUUUCAAUGUCAUGCUGAUUCAUUUACCGGAUACCGACCCAGAGGCCUACUUACUCGAAGAGAUUACGCCUCUCCCCCUGUGGCAGCGGGUGGGACCAAGGGCAGUCACCUGACCCACGGCAGCCGAUGGGGGGCCAGGGUGUGGUGAUGACGACGUAAUCCGGUCCGGCCUUGCCUUGUGGGGACCCUGCCCUGGUGGGCGCUGGUGUGACAGCAAAGCACGUCCCACGGUCAGGGAGGGAAGAAUCUUGCAAUCUUGCAAUUGCAAUCUGUUGUCAAGGCAGGCGUCACAGAGGAGGUGACGUUUGAGGUAAACGUCGCUGGAUGCAUGGCAGUUGCCGCACAGAGUAGGAGGGAGAAACCUGGCCCUUCAGGGACCACAUGGAGCGUGAGGAGAGACCUUCAGCUGGACACCCGUUGAGAUAACACAGGCAAGCAGAGCCGUCAAGUAUGAGCUGAAACAUAAACCAUAGAAGACAUCACACCCCGAGUCCUGGCGAUCGUCGUGCUGUGGGGAACAGGCCUCAGGGAUGACCCCAAAUCUCUCUGCACGGCGAUGUUUACAGGAUACGGUUUACAAGCUGGAAUUGAC
rnacentral:lncRNA from 12 species